rnacentral:rRNA from 1 species
GUGGGGAAUCUUGCGCAAUGGGCGAAAGCCUGACGCAGCCAUGCCGCGUGAAUGAUGAAGGUCUUAGGAUUGUAAAAUUCUUUCACCGGGGACGAUAAUGACGGUACCCGGAGAAGAAGCCCCGGCUAACUUCGUGCCAGCAGCCGCGGUAAUACGAAGGGGGCUAGCGUUGCUCGGAAUUACUGGGCGUAAAGGGCGCGUAGGCGGACAGUUUAGUCAGAGGUGAAAGCCCAGGGCUCAACCUUGGAAUUGCCUUUGAUACUGGCUGUCUUGAGUACGGGAGAGGUGAGUGGAACUCCGAGUGUAGAGGUGAAAUUCGUAGAUAUUCGGAAGAACACCAGUGGCGAAGGCGAUUAACUGGACGGGCACUGACGCUGAGGCACGAAAGCGUGGGGAUCAAACAGGAUUAGAAACCCCGGUAGUCC